UGCUCCAGGUAAAAUGAACAUUUGAUGUCCAGAAAACUGUAUGCCAUGAAAAUGCCAGAAAUGACUCAGCAGGAUGUCAGCUGAAAAGUCCCCUAGACACUGUCAAUGUGCACAUUACAAACAUUUAUAUGCAUCAAUAUCCAAGGAAGUAAAAUCCUCCCUGCCACUGAAUGAAGGGACCAUGGCAAAAUCAUCUGGAUAUACAGGAAAACACAAGCACAGCAGGAAACAUUAUGGAUCAAAAGGAAAAAAAAUAGUUGAAACUGAAGAAAGCAUAACUCAAAAUGGGGAAAGCACAAAUCAGGAGGGAGUAAGUCCAACUGGAGAGGAGGAAAGGACCAUUCCAGGAGAGGAAUAUAUGGCUCUCGCUCUCAAAGGAUCUAUAACAACAACUCACUAGACUGAAGGCAUGGUAAAACGCAGACACAGUAUAUGUUACCAAAGAUUAUUUGUUAUUUCUUUGAAGAGUAAAUUGUCCUUUUUUCUGCUUAAUUUUUGUGUUACAGAAUUACAACUUGCAAAUAUGUUUGUUCGUGUUUACCAUCUGCAUGCGUAAUAACCUAAUCCAUUUUUCCACUCAAUGCCCCUAUCUUUUUAUUGAGCGUUAUCUUUUGGUUUAUUCACUCAUGUUAUGUUGCUAUCAUUGGUGGAGAUAGCAUUUAUUGCCAGGCGCAAAUGCCCCUGAGAAGAUGCUUCUUGAACCGGGGCAGUCUAUGUGCUAUACGUAGACCCACAAUGCCAUUAGGGAGGGAAUUCCAGGAUCUUGAU